GAUUACAUUGUAGAGAAGGGUAGAUUGCAAGAGGCCGAGGCUCGUCGGUUUUUUCAACAGAUCAUUUCUGGAGUUGAGUACUGCCACAGAAAUAUGAUAGUCCAUCGUGAUCUGAAACCAGAGAACUUGUUGUUGGAUUCAAAAUUAAACAUCAAAAUUGUCGAUUUUGGCUUAAGUAAUAUAAUGCGGGACGGCCAUUUUCUAAAGACUAGCUGUGGGAGCCCAAACUACGCAGCACCUGAGGUGAUAUCUGGUAAACUGUAUGCUGGGCCUGAGGUUGAUGUCUGGAGUUGCGGCGUUAUCCUUUAUGCCCUCCUUUGUGGCACCCUUCCUUUCGAUGAUGAGAAUAUUCCCAAUUUAUUCAAGAAAAUUAAGG
rnacentral:misc_RNA from 1 species